UGGGGAAUAUUGCACAAUGGGCGCAAGCCUGAUGCAGCCAUGCCGCGUGUAUGAAGAAGGCCUUCGGGUUGUAAAGUACUUUCAGCGGGGAGGAAGGCGAUAAGGUUAAUAACCUUGUCGAUUGACGUUACCCGCAGAAGAAGCACCGGAUAACUCCGUGCCAGCAGCCGCGGGAAUACGGAGGGUGCAAGCGUUAAUCGGAAUUACUGGGCGUAAAGCGCACGCAGGCGGUCUGUCAAGUCGGAUGUGAAAUCCCCGGGCUCAACCUGGGAACUGCAUUCGAAACUGGCAGGCUAGAGUCUUGUAGAGGGGGGUAGAAUUCCAGGUGUAGCGGUGAAAUGCGUAGAGAUCUGGAGGAAUACCGGUGGCGAAGGCGGCCCCCUGGACAAAGACUGACGCUCAGGUGCGAAAGCGUGGGGAGCAAACA
rnacentral:rRNA from 1 species